rnacentral:rRNA from 1 species
GUAGGUGGCAAGCGUUGUCCGGAAUUAUUGGGCGUAAAGCGCGCGCAGGUGGUUCUUUAAGUCUGAUGUGAAAGCCCCCGGCUCAACCGGGGAGGGUCAUUGGAAACUGGGGAACUUGAGUGCAGGAGAGGAAAGUGGAAUUCCACGUGUAGCGGUGAAAUGCGUAGAUAUGUGGAGGAACACCAGUGCCGAAGGCGACUUUCUGGCCUGUAACUGACACUGAGGCGCGAAAGCGUGGGGAGCAAACAGGGAUUAGAUACCCUGGUAGUCCACGCCGUAAACGAUGAGUGCUAAGUGUUGGGGGGGUUUCCGCCCCCUCAGUGCUGCAGCUAACGCAUUAAGCACUCCGCCUGGGAGUACGGUCGCAAGACUG